UUGAUUUAUAGUUAAUUUAAAACACAUGAAAUGUUGAGUUCAUUGUACUUUAGAUGUGAUGUGUGAAAACGAAAAAAAAAAACACUUUACAAAAAAAUCAAAAUCAAGUUACCGUUAGCUUUUGGAACAAUACAAUAUACAACUCUAUUUUGCACAAGACAUGCAGCAAAAUAGUAGGUAUAAAAAGACAGGAAAUUAGAAGUCUGAUUCGACUGACUUUAUUCAAUUGUCAACAGGAAUUAAAACACAUGUGUAUAAAUAAGGUAAAACCGAGGCCACCAGACUAUGUAGGCAGCUGGUUUAUAAUCUAGAGAAACAGUCAUAUAGUUUCUCUGUGAAAUGCCCAGGGCCAAGUCAAAGACAAAGCAAAGUUGUGAAUAAAAAUAAUUCUGGAACUGGAACAUAUAGUCUGAAAACAACAAUGAAUGUUUUAAAUACAUUCCUAUAAUCGAAA